UACGAUUUACACAAACAAAUUACAAAAAUUUUUUGACCUAAGUUCAAUUUUCGCGAACAUUUUGAAACUAUUUGACUGAAUGAAGACUAUACGGUUUUGCAAAAUUUGCUAUACCAAUCUUUUGGUUAGGACGAAAGGAAGAAAUGCUUGCAAAUCAUCUGUUCGAAACUGAGCAAAGGAAAAAUUAAAAAUGGUGCACUAAAUGGACCGGAUAUGCCUUAAGAGUCGGACGAACAAAGUGUGCGUUUUCACCACAUCACCAAGUCAAUAGAAAUGCGAUAUAAGGGAAAACGCACUGCAUGCAUUGCUUGCGGAAGUAUUUUGGUGGUCAAGGAAAAUAAUUCAAUUUUAAAAUGAAUACACCGAAGAAGUGCAUUUGAGCAAAUAUGGACGUAAAUAUGUCAAUAAAUGUAUUUACUGACCUUGAUCAAGAUGAUGUUCCUGGUGUUGCUGAUGCUGAUAAAUCACGCUUGUGGUGAAUGAAGCUAUCAUAAAUAUAGGCAUAAUAGGUAAAAACGAAUUGAAAUUGAAUUGGGUUUAUUAUAGUUAUUAGAAAGAACAGACAAACUUCAAUAUUUGCGGACAUAUAGCUGUGAUAUAUAGGCUAAAAACGGCAACAAUUUGGCUUCAGAUACUAAAACGAAAUUCCGUGCAGUUGACCAGAUGUGACCAUGUCAAAAUAUUAAGAAACUAUUAAAAUCACUUUGAAAACGAGGUAACGCUCUCAGAUUCUUAUAUGAGAGCAAAUCAAGACUUGACGUCUACAUUCAACAUCUGAUCACCAAAGUCUUAUCGGAAAUUUAGUGUUGCAUAGUGUAAAGGCAAAUUAGGUAUUUACUCACAUAUAUAAUGCUCUAAAUUCAUUCCACUCGAAUCAGUUGUACUUCAUUUGCUUUCCUAUCUUAUU